ensembl:lncRNA
UCACCUCAGGUCAGUGAUCAGAGGUGGUGAAGAAGAGGAAUCACAUCCCAGGUGGGGACAGGCAGGAGGAGCAAGAGGCUGGCCAGUGCAAGGAACCUAGGGCCCCACAGGCUCUCAGGCUUUGGUGGGAGUGAGAACCACCCGAGAACCCGAUCAACUACAAAGACCCAGGUAUCGAUGAGCCUGGACCCCUGACUGAGCUCUCCAGGUGAUUCUCAUACCCAGGCGAGUUUGAGAAUCCCUGCCUGAAAGCAAAGUAUAACCAGUGGGGGGUGGUGUGAAGGCAGGGGAGAUCCUGGGGUCACAGGGCCAGGAUCCCAGCUUUCCAGCUUGAUUCAAUGUCACCCACUGGGAGCAUGGGGGUCACAUGCCCCAGAACAGAGCAGAAUAACUGGAGAGCUAAUUAAAAAUGGACUCAAAGGUUUUAUUCCAGAAUCUGCAUUUUCAACAAGCUCCCUCAGAACACUGUUGAGCACAGGCCCUUCCCAAAGCACCAGCAACUUUAUGAUGCAUCAUUUUAAAGAGGAUGCCGCAGGGACUUCCCUGGUGACCCAGUAGUUAAGAAUCCACCUGCCAAGGCAGAGUACAUGGAUUCCGUCCCUGAACAGAGGAGAUUCCACAUGCCUGUUGUGGAGCAACUAAGCCCACAGGCCACAACUACCGAACCCAGGCUCCUCAACAAAAGAAGUCACUGCAUUGAGAAGCCCGUGCGCAGCAAUGAAGACCCAGGGCAGUCAAAAAUCAAAUUAAAAUAAAGAGGUCUCUAAGAAAUGCAUUGGGUCCUACAGAUCCCGGCUCUGCCCAUGGGAGGGAAAAGGGGGACACACCCCUGAAGUUUUCUGAGAACUGCGAGACUUCUGGCACCCUUUCCAAAGUAGAAAGCCAGCCAGGAUCUGGGACUACCUCGCCGCAGGAGCAGGAGGCACUGGCAACAGUCUGAUCAAGGGACCUGAGAGAGACGGUGUUCACGGGACCUGGGGUCUGUCGGGUCAGGGAGGGCUGAUACUUCCACGUGAAAGGGAAGCUCUGUGCUAGGUGAGAGAGAAGAGGUCAGCGCGGCCCCCUUCCAUCCUGCUCCUACAAAAGCCUCCGGAAGGAGCCCAAGAAGUUCUCCACGAAGGACCAAAAUGAUAGUAACUGAAUGCGGGGAGUGGGCUCCCGGGUCGGACGCACGCGGUCUGAUCUCUGGCCGCAGUUCCCUCUCAGGCAGGGCCCCGCCCGGAGCUUCCCCGCCCCCUGCGCCCUGGCAGCCUCACCGCUCAUAUCCUGCUCAGCAGCCGCCACUGCUCGGGAAGAACCGCCCCGAAGCGCCGCAGCCGGGACACGAUCCCUACGUCCGGCUCCCGGUCCUCGCGUCCGCUGCGGAUGGUCCAUCAGAAGCACAGGGCCUGCUGGCAGGUUCCCCGGCGCUCCAGCCGCCGCGCUUCCCUCUCCGCGCCCGGUGGCGCCCGCGGGCAACCAGCGUCCUGGCCCCACCCCACGCGUCCUGCGGAGCUUUCCUUCCCGAGUGUCCACACCUGUUAAUUGACGCGAAGGAUACGGACGUCUGGGGACCCAGCGCCUCCCGGACUUCUUUAACACUGCCAGGCAGAAGGCGGGGGUCCUUGCCUCCUCACUCAUGGCCGCUUGCCGCCCCCAGGUUCCCCCAUCUCUGCCAAAGGCAACUCCUUCCUCUGAGCUCCUCAGGUCCCAAACCUUGGAGUCAAUUUUCACUCUUCUCUUCAUCAGCUCCUAUACCCAAUCCGUCAGCAACUCCUACGGGUUCUCUCUUCCAAAUAUCUCCAAACUUUGAAGCCAGCCUGUGGAGCAGCCAGCCUUGGGUCAGCUCCCGGUUUCCCAGAUUGACUGGUUUGAUCUCCUUGCUGUCCAAGGGACUCUCAAGAGUCUUCUCAAACAUCACAGUUGAAAAACAUCAGUUCUUCAGCGCUCAGCCUUCUUUAUGGUCCAACUCUCAC